rnacentral:tRNA from 1 species
GGAAGGUUGGCCGAGUGGUUUAAGGCGCUCGUCUUGAAAACGAGUGUGGGCCAGAAGCUCACCGGGGGUUCGAAUCCCUCACCUUCCGCCA